rnacentral:piRNA from 1 species
UCCUCCAUAACUGAAGCCUAGCAGAGGUCUC